GAUGAACGCUGGCGGCGUGCCUAAUACAUGCAAGUCGAGCGAACAGAUAAGGAGCUUGCUCCUUUGACGUUAGCGGCGGACGGGUGAGUAACACGUGGGUAACCUACCUAUAAGACUGGGAUAACUUCGGGAAACCGGAGCUAAUACCGGAUAACAUUUGGAACCGCAUGGUUCUAAAGUGAAAGAUGGUUUUGCUAUCACUUAUAGAUGGACCCGCGCCGUAUUAGCUAGUUGGUAAGGUAACGGCUUACCAAGGCGACGAUACGUAGCCGACCUGAGAGGGUGGUCGGCCACACUGGAACUGAGACACGGUCCAGACUCCUACGGGAGGCAGCAGUAGGGAAUCUUCCGCAAUGGGCGAAAGCCUGACGGAGCAACGCCGCGUGAGUGAUGAAGGGGUUCGGCUCGUAAAACUCUGUUAUUAGGGAAGAACAAAUGUGUAAGUAACUGUGCACGUCUUGACGGUACCUAAUCAGAAAGCCACGGCUAACUACGUG
rnacentral:rRNA from 1 species